rnacentral:lncRNA from 1 species
CUUUCUUCCUGUGUUGGGUCAGCCCAAUCUUCCAAAAAUAAAAAAAGCGUGACCCAGUCCGACCACAGAGAACGGAAAAAAGAGAAAGCUGCACUUCCGAACCGCAGAGACCCGGCGCCAGGCAGGGCGACGCUCCCACCCGUACCGGGCUGCGUCUGUCCACACUGGCCAGAGGCGGGGGCUCCCUCCACCCGGCACCCUGUCCUUUUUCCCCCGCGGGGUCUCGCUGCCCCCGUGAGGCGAGCGACCCGCGCGCCCUCGGUCCCGCCGGCGCCCCUGCCUCGGGACAGCCUCUCCCAGGACUUGUCUUCCCCGGAGAGGAACAGGUUAGAAGCGCGGGCGCCUGCAAAGGCGACCUGGGAAACACAAAAGUGUUCUCCCUCCCUCUCCCGUUCUCAGCGCCGAAUUCGCGGCCACUGUAGGGCAGGGAGUAGACUCACCGCGAGCCUUCCGCCACCCCAACCCCCCGGAGCGCGGGCGCGUGGGGUCGUGGGCCCGGGGACACUGCACCGGGAGCGCACCCCAGUCCCCACCGAGGGAGGCCAAGCCCGAGGCGAGGCAGAUGCGCGGGCAGCUCCCGGGAUCCCCGAGGGGAACCUGCAGGGUUGGAGAAGGGGAGGCCCGAGGAGAGGCAGACCCCACUCCCGGUCCGGCUGCACCUACUCCAUGUUGCCCACAACGCGCCGGCCACGGCGCCAGGAGGGGAAGAGCCAAACGCGCCUCACCGUGUUCGCGGCUUUGCACCAACCCCUCUCUGUUGGAUUCUGUUCUCCCUGCGAUGUGCAAAUAAAUCCAGCCUCGAUGCAAACUUUUUCCCCCUUCUUUCCAAACUCUGCUUCAGUCCAACUUCCGAGCAAUCGGCGAGAGGAAAAAAGGAGAGGAAAAUCCGGAGCCAAGUCCCCAGCCGAUGAACACGCCGGAGUUCGGGGCUGGAGGCCACCCCCCUUCAAGAAGCGCACGCGGAGUAUUUCCUCUUUUUUCUCAAUGAACUGGAGGCCGAAGCGCCAACGGCGAGUCUCUUUUGCUGGCGGAUGA